UGGUCCUUGCUGGCAAUGGGCAGAGAGACACCUUGUUGGCAGUGGUGUUCUCAUAUCGGUGAGGGGCAGAGCAGAUGGCAGGCCUUUGUUCAUCCCAGUUUGAUGGAUGGCUUAGUGGCCAAAGCUGCCUUAUGCCUAGGACUUAAAA
ensembl:snoRNA LOC120102654 small nucleolar RNA SNORA48